AUGCGCGCGGACAACUCUCUCGUGUUGACGCCCCCACUCCCUCCGCUUCUCCUCGUCGCCUCCCCUCGCGCCACCGUCACCGUCCGAGAAGCACCGCGGCCACUACUACUCUGCAUCGUGCCGAGCUUGCCACCGCCGCCGCUCUCCCGGUCGAGCUCGUCCCUCACCACCGGCCCUCAAGUUGUGGAGGGGCAACAGGCAGCGGUGGACGAGGAAAUCUACCACCAACCGCCGCCGCAUGUCUUCCUGCUUCGCCAUCAACGCGAGGAGCACCGGAGCGUGUCCUCAAGUUGGUGCUCCUCCGGGAAGAGGACAACCCGAGAUCUGUCAUGGAGGUCAACCCUGACGUCGGCCUUGUCGGAUUGGAGCGGCAGUGCGGUGGUUGGUCUACUGUGGCGGCUCGCUGGAGGCAGCAGCAACCCAAUCGGCACCGCCAUCUCCUUCCCUAUCCAUGAGCCAACCUCUGUCUUCCUCCCCGACGGCGGCGUCGAACCAACACUGGGUUAUGCUACCCUUGGCCGUGGCCUAACACGCGCGGACUGA
rnacentral:rRNA from 1 species